rnacentral:rRNA from 1 species
CACGUAGGGGGCAAGCGUUGUCCGGAUUUAUUGGGCGUAAAGAGCUCGUAGGUGGUUCGGUAAGUCAGGUGUGAAACCUCCAGGCUCAACCUGGAGACGCCACUUGAUACUGCUGUGACUGGAGUCCGGUAGGGGAGCGUGGAAUUCCUGGUGUAGCGGUGAAAUGCGUAGAGAUCAUGAGGAAGACCAGUGGCGAAGGCGGGUCUCUGGACAGUUCCUGACACUGAGGCACGAAGGCCAGGGGAGCAAACGGG